rnacentral:rRNA from 14 species
GACAGUGACCGUACCACCUGGCACAUGCCCAUCUCAUCUGAUUUUGGAGGCAAAGCAAGGUCAGGUCUAGGUAACACUUUGAUGGGAAAGACACACAGAGUGGUUGCCC